rnacentral:rRNA from 1 species
AUUAUACAGCGAAACUGCGAAUGGCUCAUUAUAUAAGUUAUCGUUUAUUUGAUAGUACCUUACUACUUGGAUAACCGUGGUAAUUCUAGAGCUAAUACAUGCUGAAAAUCCCGACUUCGGAAGGGAUGUAUUUAUUAGAUUAAAAACCAAUGCCCUCUGGGCUCUCUGGUGAUUCAUGAUAACUUCUCGAAUCGCAUGGCCUUGCGCCGGCGAUGGUUCAUUCAAAUUUCUUCCCUAUCAACUUUCGAUGUUUGGGUAGUGGCCAAACAUGGUUGCAACGGGUAACGGAGGGUUAGGGCUCGACCCCGGAGAAGGAGCCUGAGAAACGGCUACUACAUCCAAGGAAGGCAGCAGGCGCGCAAAUUACCCAAUCCCGAUUCGGGGAGGUAGUGACAAUAAAUACUGAUACAGGGCUCUUUUGGGUCUUGUAAUUGGAAUGAGUACAAUUUAAAUCCCUUAACGAGGAACAAUUGGAGGGCAAGUCUGGUGCCAGCAGCCGCGGUAAUUCCAGCUCCAAUAGCGUAUAUUAAAGUUGUUGUGGUUAAAAAGCUCGUAGUUGAACCUUGGGCCUGGCUGGCCGGUCCGCCUCACCGCGUGUACUGGUCCGGCCGGGUCUUUCCCUCUGUGGAACCCCAUGCCCUUCACUGGGUGUGGCGGGGAAACAGGACUUUUACUUUGAAAAAAUUAGAGUGCUCCAGGCAGGCCUAUGCUCGAAUACAUUAGCAUGGAAUAAUGAAAUAGGACGUGCGGUUCUAUUUUGUUGGUUUCUAGGACCGCCGUAAUGAUUAAUAGGGACAGUCGGGGGCAUCAGUAUUCAAUUGUCAGAGGUGAAAUUCUUGGAUUUAUUGAAGACUAACUACUGCGAAAGCAUUUGCCAAGGAUGUUUUCAUUAAUCAGGAACGAAAGUUAGGGGAUCGAAGACGAUCAGAUACCGUCGUAGUCUUAACCAUAAACUAUGCCGACUAGGGAU